GACGAACGCUGGCGGCGUGCUUAACACAUGCAAGUCGAACGAUGAAGCCGGAGCUUGCUCUGGUGAAUUAGUGGCGAACGGGUGAGUAACACGUGAGUAACCUGCCCUUGACUCUGGGAUAACUGCGGGAAACUGUAGCUAAUACCGGAUACGACCCUCGGAGGCAUCUCCUGGGGGUGGAAAGAAUUUCGGUCAAGGACGGACUCGCGUCCUAUCAGCUAGUUGGUGAGGUAAAGGCGAACCAAGGCGACGACGGGUAGCCGGCCUGAGAGGGUGACCGGCCACACUGGGACUGAGACACGGCCCAGACUCCUACGGGAGGCAGUGGUGGGGAAUAUUGCACAAUGGGCGCAAGCCUGAUGCAGCAACGCCGCGUGAGGGAUGACGGCCUUCGGGUUGUAAGCCUCUUUUAGCAGGGAAGAAGCGAAAGUGACGGUACCUGCAGAAAAAGCACCGGCUAACUACGUGCCAGCCGCCGCCGUAA
rnacentral:rRNA from 1 species